rnacentral:rRNA from 1 species
AGUGAACGCUGGCGGCAGGCCUAACACAUGCAAGUCGAACGGCAGCGGGUCCUUCGGGAUGCCGGCGAGUGGCGGACGGGUGAGGAAUACAUGGGAAUCUGCCCAGUCGUGGGGGAUAACGUAGGGAAACUUACGCUAAUACCGCAUGCGACCUUAGGGUGAAAGCGGCGGACCGCAAGGCGUCGCGCGAUUGGAUGAGCCCAUGUCGGAUUAGCUAGUUGGCGGGGUAAAGGCCCACCAAGGCGACGAUCCGUAGCUGGUCUGAGAGGAUGAUCAGCCACACUGGAACUGAGACACGGUCCAGACUCCUACGGGAGGCAGCAGUGGGGAAUAUUGGACAAUGGGCGCAAGCCUGAUCCAGCCAUGCCGCGUGAGUGAAGAAGGCCUUCGGGUUGUAAAGCUCUUUUGUCCGGAAAGAAAAGCUCUCGGUUAAUACCCGGGGGUUCUGACGGUACCGGAAGAAUAAGCACCGGCUAACUUCGUGCCAGCCGCCGCCGUAACAC